rnacentral:rRNA from 1 species
CCUACGGGAGGCAGCAGUGGGGAAUUUUGCGCAAUGCUCGUAAGAGUGACGCAGCGACGCCGCGUGAAUGACGAAGGCCUUCGGGUCGUAAAGUUCUUUCGACAGGGAAGAAAAUGCCUAUAAGUAACUGUGUAUGUAUUGACGGUACCUGUAUAAGCAGCCCCGGCUAACUCCGUGCCAGCAGCCGCGGUAAUACGGAGGGGGCGAGCGUUGUACGGAGUGACUGGGCGUAAAGAGCACGUAGGCGGUGUUGUAAGUCAUUAGUCAAAGACUAGAGCUCAACUUUAGUAAGGCUAGUGAUACUAUAAUACGAGAGUAUCAGAGAGGAUUGCAGAAUUCCUGGUGUAGCGGUGAAAUGCGUAGAUAUCAGGAGGAAUACCGUUAGCGAAGGCGGCAAUCUGGCUGGAAACUGACGCUGAGGUGCGAAAGCGUGGGUAGCAAACAGGAUUAGAUACACCAGUAGUC